rnacentral:tRNA from 1 species
GAGGGUAGAGCUCAGUGAUAGAGUGCUUGCCUUAGCAUGCAUGAGGUCCUGGGUUCUAUCCCCAGUACCUCCA